UGCUAAGAGAGAAGAUAUUGUUGGCGGA
rnacentral:sRNA from 1 species